AAACGCUGGCGGCGUGCAUAACACAUGCAAGUCGAACGAUGAACCUUAUUAGAUUUCUUCGGAAUGAAAAUAAGUGGAUUAGUGGCGAACGGGUGAGUAACACGUGAGUAACCUGCCUUACACAAGGGGAUAGCCUUUGGAAACGAAGAAUAAUACCCUAUGACGUCAAUUUAUCGCAUGAUAGAAUGACCAAAGAUUUAUCGGUGUAAGAUGGACUUGCGUCUGAUUAGCUAGUUGGUGAGAUAAAAGCCCACCAAGGCGACGAUCAGUAGCCGGCUUGAGAGAGUGUACGGCCACAUUGGGACUGAGACACGGCCCAAACUCCUACGGGAGGCAGCAGUGGGGAAUUUUGCACAAUGGGGGAAACCCUGAUGCAGCGACGCCGCGUGAUUUAGAAGGCCUUCGGGUUGUAAAAAUCUUUUUUAUGGGAUGAAAAUGACAGUACCAUAAGAAUAAGGUCCGGCUAAAUACGUGCCAGCAGCCGCGGUAAUACGUAUGGACCGAGCGUUGUCCGGAAUCAUUGGGCGUAAAGGGUACGUAGGCGGCCUAGUAAGUUAGAAGUGAAAUAAUAUAGCUCAACUAUAUAAAGCUUUUAAAACUGUUAGGCUUGAGAGAUGAAAGGGAAAGUGGAAUUCCUAGUGUAGCGGUGAAAUGCGCAGAUAUUAGGAAGAAUACCGGUGGCGAAGGCGACUUUCUGGUCAUCAUCUGAAGC
rnacentral:rRNA from 1 species